GGCGGUAUAGCCAAGUGGUAAGGCAUGGCUCUGCAAAAGCCUGAUCGCCGGUUCAAAUCCGACUACCGCCU
rnacentral:tRNA from 3 species